rnacentral:rRNA from 1 species
UAUUGGACAAUGGGCGAAAGCCUGAUCCAGCAAUGCCGCGUGAGUGAUGAAGGCCUUAGGGUUGUAAAGCUCUUUUACCAGGGAUGAUAAUGACAGUACCUGGAGAAUAAGCUCCGGCUAACUCCGUGCCAGCAGCCGUGGUAAUACGGAGGGAGCUAGCGUUGUUCGGAAUUACUGGGCGUAAAGAGUACGUAGGCGGUGAUUCAAGUCAGAGGUGAAAGCCUGGAGCUCAACUCCAGAACUGCCUUUGAAACUAGAUCGCUAGAAUCAUGGAGAGGUUAGUGGAAUUCCGAGUGUAGAGGUGAAAUUCGUAGAUAUUCGGAAGAACACCAGUGGCGAAGGCGACUAACUGGACAUGUAUGACGCUGAGUACGAAU